AAACCGCUCAGGGGCAAACCUGCGAAACUCGAAUGAGCGAACGGGGAGAUUCAUCGUUAUUCCGCGGCGUGGCUGCACGCUCUCGAUGUCGUCGGUUUCGGCCGUUCGGCACGGGGUUGGUGGUUACUACGUUCGUGGACGGCGUGCACUUCUCCCUUAGUAAUACAUCGCGACCCGUUCGAUGUCGGUCUAAGCGCCGUUCGGGAGUCUCGCCUGUUUUCCUUCGGGGCGCAGGGGAGACCGUGACGGUUGCCGACCGGCUGUCGGACGGUAUUUUUAACGGAUCGCGUACGCGUUUAUGCGCGUCCGGCCCGACGCAAGGCAUUCGUCCGUCACCACCGUCCUGCCUUAGUGCGAGCGGAGGUGCGGCGGGCCUGUUGUCGCAGCCGUGCUGUCUCGGACUGUGCGCGUACC
rnacentral:rRNA from 1 species